rnacentral:lncRNA from 1 species
CGCUCGCGCCGGCACGGCGAAGCCUCGCUGUGCUCGUUUUGGCCUCGCGCGAAGCGUCCCAGAACUCGAUUCUGUCACGGCGCGCGCGUACGAGCCGCGAGCGGUUGUGACGUCACCGCCCAGGCGCAGACAAGGAACUGCGCAGGCGCAGACAAGGAACUGCGCGGGCCUUGAGGGCUCGGCAGUGCGCAGGCGCGCUCAUGCGUUGGGCCGCACCCCCCCCCCAGAGUUCCGCGCGCGCGUCCUCGACGCUGCGGGGGAGCUGGGCUGACCGGGUAUAAGCUGCUCCCCGGAGGCGGGAGAUUCCCCCGGAGGCCGGAGGCCGGGCGGCGGUGGGCAGUGCAGCAGCCGAGCGGGUUUACCAGGGCUGUCGGCGGCGAGCUGGGACUGACUCUGGCUGUGGCCACUCCUUUGGCAUUCUUCCUGGCUGCCCUGCAGAGCCCCAGCCUCCUGUAGCUCCCUCCCUGUCCCAUGCUCACACUGGCCCCUGUCUUGUGGAAGGGUCUGAGGAGCUUGGUGGUAUGUGGCCCUGGUCCUCCUGCCACCGUGGUGGAGCUGAGCAUAGCCAGGGAGCGUUGGAAACUUCCCAGCAGCAGCUGCCGCACAUCCUGGGUGGCUUGUCCCUGACUUGCCCCUUCAUGCCUUCCUUAUAUGAGUCUCUGUUCCUCCUCCACCUGCCAACCUCUGCUCACCCUUCAAGACCCCUCUGGAAGAUCCCUGCCUCUGCGAGGUUGCCUUCAGCCUCCCUGUCACCACCUCCCUGGCCCCCAGGCUCCCUGGGUUCCUCUUCUAUCCCAGGAGGACCUGACCACAGCUGGGCCCUCCCAGUGUGCCCUGUGCAGCUCAGCGGCCUGCCCGAAAGGCCCUCCAGCAGCUUAUCUUGCUGUGGAAAGGUAGCUAGGGUCCCCACCUCGGUCCUCACUCCUCCCAGUGUAGCUCUGAGCCCAGGCCUGGCGCCACCUGCUGAGAAGUGGGGAUGGGGCUGGGGAGGGGCGCCAGUGCAAGGGAGGCCUUCAGCCUGGGCUGGGAACUCGGCACAGGCAGGAUGGACGCUCACAUGUGCAGGGCCUGUGGCUACUUAG